rnacentral:rRNA from 1 species
GACGAACGCUGGCGGCGUGCCUAAUACAUGCAAGUCGAGCGGACUGAAUGGGAGCUUGCGCUUGUUCGGUCAGCGGCGGACGGGUGAGUAACACGUGGGCAACCUGCCCGCAAGACCGGGAUAACUCCGGGAAACCGGAGCUAAUACCGGAUAACACCGAAGACCGCAUGGGCUUUGGGUGAAAGGCGGCGCAAGCGGACAGUUGCGGAGGGGCCCGCGGCGCAUGAGGGAGAGGGGGAGGUAAAGGCUCACCAAGGCGGCGAGGCGUAGCCGGCCUGCGGUGGUGGGCAGCCACACUGGGACUGAGACACGGCCCAGACGCCUUCGGGAGGCAGCAGUACGGCAUCGUCCGCCAUGGGCGGAAGACUGACGGCGCGACGCCGCGUGAGCGAAGAAGGCCGUCGGGUCGUAAAGCUCGGUUGUGGGGGACUAAGCAGCGCCGUUUGAAGACGGCGGCGGGGUGACGGUACCUCAUGAGGAAGCCCCGGCUAACUACGUG